rnacentral:snRNA from 1 species
GUGGACCAGUGCACACCAAAAUUGGAAUGAUACAGAGAGAUUAGCAUGGUUCAUGUGUAAGGAUGACAUUCAAAGUCGUCAAAUAGUCCAUAUUUUU